UAUACGAGCAGAAGCCGUACCGUGAGGAGCGGUGGAUUGUAUAGAAGUGAGAAUGCCGGUGUGAGUAGCGAGAUGUAGGUGAGAAUCCUACACACCGAAAGCCCAAGGAUUCCAGGGGAAGGUUCGUCCGCCCUGGGUAAGUCGGGACCUAACGCGAGGCCGAAAGGCGUAGUGGAUGGAAAGCAGGCGAAAGAUUCCUGCACCCGUAUAUGGAGCGAAGGAGUGACGGAGACGGAUAGUGUGACCCUCUUAAUGGAUUGAGGGCGAAGCGAAGCGGCUGGUUACCAGGCAAAUCCGGUAACCAAAAGGCUAGAGCGUGACAGGUAAGCGAAAUCUUAGGAAAGUAGCGAAGCACAUGAUGACGGCUUCCAGGAAAAGCUUCUGGCAAUGCAUAUGCGGCCCGUACCAAAACCGACACAGGUGGGCAGGGAGAGAAUCCCGAGGUGAGCGAGAGAACUGUUGCCAAGGAACUCGGCAAAAUGACUCCGUAAGUUAGCGAGAAGGAGUGCUUAAGCAAUUAAGCCGCAGUGAAGAGGCCCAAGCGACUGUUUAACUAAAACACAGCUCUCUGCGAAGUCGCAAGACGAAGUAUAGGGGGUGACACCUGCCCGGUGCUGGAAGGUUAAGAGGAUCUGUUAAGAGCGAUCUGAAGCAGUGAUCCGAAGCCCCAGUGAACGGCGGCCGUAACUAUAACGGUCCUAAGGUAGCGAAAUUCCUUGUCAGGUAAGUUCUGACCCGCACGAAAGGUGUAACGAUUUGGGCGCUGUCUCGGCAGCAGACUCGGUGAAAUCUUAGUACCUGUGAAAAUGCAGGUUACCCGCAACUAGACGGAAAGACCCCAUGGAGCUUUACUGCAGCCUGAUAUUGAAUUCUGGUCAUACAUGUACAGGAUAGGUGGGAGACAAAGAGACGUGCACGCCAGUGUACGAGGAGUCGACGUUGGGAUACCACUCUUGUGUGACCGGGGUUCUAACCUGGUAUCGAGAACAGGUACGGGGAGAGUGUCAGGUGGGCAGUUUGACUGGGGCGGUCGCCUCCCAAAGAGUAACGGAGGCGCCCAAAGGUACGCUCAGAUUGGAUGGAAACCAAUCGUCGAGUGCAAUUGCAGAAGCGUGCUUGACUGUGAGACAGACAAGUCGAACAGGGACGAAAGUCGGGAAUAGUGAUCCGGCGGUGCCGAAUGGAAGGGCCGUCGCUCAACGGAUAAAAGCUACCCUGGGGAUAACAGGCUGAUCUCGCCCAAGAGUUCACAUCGACGGCGAGGUUUGGCACCUCGAUGUCGGCUCAUCGCAUCCUGGAGCUGGAUUCGGUUCCAAGGGUUGGGCUGUCCGCCCAUUAAAGCGGUACGCGAGCUGGGUUCAGAACGUCGUGAGACAGUUCGGUCCCUAUCUGUUGUGGGCGAAGGAGAUCUGCGGAGAGCUGUCCUCAGUACGAGAGGACCGGGAUGGACCUACCGCUGGUGCACCGGUUGUUCCGCCAGGGGCAUAGCCGGGUAGCUAAGUAGGGAAAGGAUAAGCGCUGAAAGCAUCUAAGCACGAAGCCUACUCCAAGAUGAGAUCUCCCAUUCGCAAGAAGUAAGACCCCUUAAAGACGAUAAGGUAGAUAGGCCAGGGAUGGAAGUGCAGUGAUGUACGGAGUUGACUGGUACUAAUCGGUCGAGGACUUAAUC
rnacentral:rRNA from 1 species